GACGAACGCUGGCGGCGUGCUUAACACAUGCAAGUCGAACGAUGAACCGGGUGCUUGCACCUGGGGAUUAGUGGCGAACGGGUGAGUAACACGUGAGUAACCUGCCCUGGACUCUGGGAUAACCCCGAGAAAUCGGAGCUAAUACCGGAUAGGACCUUUCCUCGCAUGAGGUUUGGUGGAAAGUUUUUCGGUCUGGGAUGGACUCGCGGCCUAUCAGCUUGUUGGUGAGGUAAUGGCUCACCAAGGCGUCGACGGGUAGCCGGCCUGAGAGGGUGACCGGCCACACUGGGACUGAGACACGGCCCAGACUCCUACGGGAGGCAGCAGUGGGGAAUAUUGCACAAUGGGCGCAAGCCUGAUGCGGCAACGCCGCGUGCGGGAUGACGGCCUUCGGGUUGUAAACCGCUUUUAGUAGGGAAGAAGGGCUUCGGCUUGACGGUACCUGCAGAAAAAGGACCGGCUAACUGCGUGCCAGCCGCCGCCGUAAGAC
rnacentral:rRNA from 1 species